rnacentral:rRNA from 1 species
UCCAGACUCCUACGGGAGGCAGCAGUGAGGAAUAUUGGUCAAUGGCCGAGAGGCUGAACCAGCCAAGUCGCGUGAGGGAAGACGGCCCUACGGGUUGUAAACCUCUUUUGUCGGGGAGCAAAGAGAGUCACGUGUGACUCAUUGAGAGUACCCGAAGAAAAAGCAUCGGCUAACUCCGUGCCAGCAGCCGCGGUAAUACGGAGGAUGCGAGCGUUAUCCGGAUUUAUUGGGUUUAAAGGGUGCGUAGGCGGAAUGCCAAGUCAGCGGUAAAAUCGCGGGGCUCAACCUCGCUCCGCCGUUGAAACUGGCAUUCUUGAGUGGGCGAGAAGUAUGCGGAAUGCGUGGUGUAGCGGUGAAAUGCAUAGAUAUCACGCAGAACUCUGAUUGCGAAGGCAGCAUACCGGCGCCCAACUGACGCUGAAGCACGAAAGCGUGGGUAUCGAACAGGAUUAGAUACCCCAGUA